rnacentral:rRNA from 1 species
UACGUAGGGGGCAAGCGUUGUCCGGAUUCAUUGGGCGUAAAGAGCGUGUAUGCGGCCAGGUAGGUCGGUUGUGAAAACUGGAGGCUCAACCUUCAGAGGUCGACCGAAACCAUCUGGCUAGAGUCCGGGAGAGGAGAGUGGAAUUCCUGGUGUAGCGGUGAAAUGCGCAGAUAUCAGGAAGAACACCCGUGGCGAAAGCGGCUCUCUGGAACGGUACUGACGCUGAGACGCGAAAGCGUGGGGAGCGAACAGG